GACGAACGCUGGCGGCGUGCUUAACACAUGCAAGUCGAGCGGUAAGGCCUCUUCUGGGGUACACGAGCGGCGAACGGGUGAGUAACACGUGGGUGACCUGCCCUCAGCUCUGGGAUAAGCCUGGUAAACUGGGUCUAAUACCGGAUAGGACCUUUCCUCGCAUGGGGGUUGGGGGAAAGUUUUGUCGGGUGGGGGGGGGCGGGCGGCCGCUCAGCGUGUUGGUGGGUGGCUGGCCAACCAAGGCGGCGACUGGUAGCUGGCCUGGGAGGGCGGCCGGCCACACGGGGACGGAGACACGGCCCCGCCUCCUGCGGGAGGCAGCAGUGGGGAAUAUUGAGCAAUGGGAGGAAGACUGAAGCAGCGCCGCCGCGUGGGGGAUGGCGGCCUUGGGGUUGUAAACCUCUUUCGACCCCGACGAAUUUGGACGGUAGGGGUAGAAGAAGCACCGGCCAACUACGUG
rnacentral:rRNA from 1 species